CUCUGGGCUCUGGAUCCUGGUGUCCCUGGACUUAAUGGAGAUGAUAGGGGAUGAAAAGUUGUGUGCAUUUUUCUGACCACCAAGCCUGUCCUCCAGUACCCACCAACUUUAACCUCCACCAACAGUGCAUGUAUGAGGCCCCAGCUUCAGACUCUGACAUCUCCAUCAGUGUACUUCUUCAAGAAUUUAAACCCACCAGGACUAUCCACAUUACAUUUAACUCUGUAAAUAAACACUUUUCAGCCUGUUCAAUGUUAUAAAUGUUCUGUUUGGCCGUUAAAGGAGGUCUUCCUCACAUUUUGGUGUAUUUUAACCCUUUCAUGGUCUAAAUUCUUUGAACAGAUCUUGUGCUGUAAUCAAUGUCUAACUGAGUUUUUAUUUUCAUUGCAGUUGUUGAUUUUUCCAGAGCAAGAUCAAUGAUUUUUUAAUACAUCUUUCUCCACUUUUAUUUGCUCUACCUGUGGGUUUCAACUAUUAUAACUUUUUUCAUUUAAUAAAUGACUAAUAACACA